rnacentral:rRNA from 3 species
AUUGCCCUAGUAACGGCGAGUGAAGCGGCAACAGCUCAAAUUUGAAAUCUGGCGUCUUCGGCGUCCGAGUUGUAAUUUGCAGAGGGCGCUUUGGCAUUGGCAGCGGUCCAAGUUCCUUGGAACAGGACGUCACAGAGGGUGAGAAUCCCGUACGUGGUCGCUAGCCUUUACCGUGUAAAGCCCCUUCGACGAGUCGAGUUGUUUGGGAAUGCAGCUCUAAAUGGGAGGUAAAUUUCUUCUAAAGCUAAAUACUGGCCAGAGACCGAUAGCGCACAAGUAGAGUGAUCGAAAGAUGAAAAGCACUUUGGAAAGAGAGUUAAAAAGCACGUGAAAUUGUUGAAAGGGAAGCGCUUGCAGCCAGACUUGCCUGUAGUUGCUCAUCCGGGUUUCUACCCGGUGCACUCUUCUAUAGGCAGGCCAGCAUCAGUUUGGGCGGUUGGAUAAAGGUCUCUGUCAUGUACCUCUCUUCGGGGAGAACUUAUAGGGGAGACGACAUGCAACCAGCCUGGACUGAGGUCCGCGCAUCUGCUAGGAUGCUGGCGUAAUGGCUGUAAGCGGCCCGUCUUGAAACACGGACCAAGGAGUCUAACAUCUAUGCGAGUGUUUGGGUGUCAAGCCCGAGCGCGUAAUGAAAGUGAACGGAGGUGGGAACCUUUCGGGGUGCACCAUCGACCGAUCCUGAUGUCUUCGGAUGGAUUUGAGUAAGAGCAUAGCUGUUGGGACCCGAAAGAUGGUGAACUAUGCUUGAAUAGGGUGAAGCCAGAGGAAACUCUGGUGGAGGCUCGCAGCGGUUCUGACGUGCAAAUCGAUCGUCAAAUUUGGGCAUAGGGGCGAAAGACUAAUCGA